rnacentral:piRNA from 1 species
UGUUUUUACUAUUUUUUCAAU